GAUAGAAUAGGGCACGUUGGCACAGUAUUCUAAUCGCGUGUUGGUCAGUGUUUAUAGAUAGAAUGGGGCACAUUGGCACAGUAUUCUAAUUGCGUGUUGGUCAGUGUUUAUAGAUAGAAUAGGGCGCGUUGGCACAGUAUUCUAAUCACAAGUUGGUCAGUGUUUAUAGAUAGAAUAGGGCGCGUUGGCACAGUAUUCUAAUCACAAGUUGGUCAGUGUUUAUAGAUCGAAUAGGGCGC